CCUACGGGUGGCAGCAGUGAGGAAUAUUGGUCAAUGGACGAGAGUCUGAACCAGCCAAGUAGCGUUAAGGAUGACUGCCCUAUGGGUUGUAAACUUCUUUUAUAUGGGAGUAAAAUGUUCCACGUGUGGGAUUUUGUAUGUACCAUAUGAAUAAGGAUCGGCUAACUCGGUGCCAGCAGCCGCGGUAAUACGGAGGAUCCGAACGUUAUCCGGAUUUAGUGGGUUUAAAGGGAGCGUAGGUGGAUUGUUAAGUCAGUUGUGAAAGUUUGCGGCGCAACCGUAAAAUUGCAGUUGAAACUGGGAGUCUUGAGUACAGUAGAGGUGGGCGGAAUUCGUGGUGUAGCGGUGAAAUGCUUAGAUAUCACGAAGAACUCCGAUUGCGAAGGCAGCUCACUGGACUGCAACUGACACUGAGGCUCGAAAGUGUGGGUAUCAAACAGGAUUAGAUACCCCAGUAGUC
rnacentral:rRNA from 1 species